rnacentral:rRNA from 1 species
UGGGGAAUAUUGGACAAUGGGCGCAAGCCUGAUCCAGCCAUGCCGCGUGAGUGACGAAGGCCUUAGGGUUGUAAAGCUCUUUUGGCGGGGAAGAUAGUGACGGUACCCGCAGAAUAAGCUCCGGCUAACUUCGUGCCAGCAGCCGCGGUAAUACGAAGGGAGCUAGCGUUGUUCGGAAUCACUGGGCGUAAAGCGCACGUAGGUGGAUAGUUAAGUGAGGGGUGAAAGCCCGAGGCUCAACCUCGGAAUUGCCUCUCAUACUGGCUGUCUCGAGUCCGAGAGAGGUGGGUGGAAUUCCUAGUGUAGAGGUGAAAUUCGUAGAUAUUAGGAAGAACACCGGUGGCGAAGGCGGCCCACUGGCUCGGUACUGACACUGAGGUGCGAAAGCGUGGGGAGCAAACAGGAUUAGAUACCCCCGUAGUCCCUGAGCGGGCUGGCAAGGCGCAU